AAAAAGCGAGCGGCGGCGGCGGGCGCCGGGGAGAGCGGGCGGCCGGGCGGCAGGCGGGCGAGCAGCGAUCGGGCGGCCGAGCGAGCGAGCAACGCCGGCGCAGCGCGGUGACCCCAGCCCCAGCCGGCGCGGAGCAGGAGCCGGAGCCGAGCGGAUCUCGGCGCCCUCGCUGCGCUCCUCCCGGCCCGAGCCUGCCCUACCCGGCGGUGGCGGCGGCGCGUCCUCCAGCGGCGGCAGCGGCGCUCGCAGCGCCCGGACUCACGGCAGCUGUGUUCUGAUUUCGUACUACUGCUGGGGCUGCCACCUCCUCCUCCAGACGCUCUCAGCAGACUUGAGUCCUGGUCCUUCUGCAGAGGCCUGAGCAGGAGGAAGAGGAGGAGGCCCGUUGGCGUCGGACCAAUGCUGCAAGGGGUGUGAGGAGAGGAGCCGCUGUUUUUCACUGAGCUGCCAUACCCCGAAAGGUGAGGAAACCGAGGCCCAGAGAAGGUAAGACACUUGCCUAGGGCCACGCAGCAAGUCAAGGACAGCACUGGCACCAGAAGCUCACCUGGCCUGUUUGUGUCCCCACCCCACCCCACAAGCAGGCACAGGGAUCCCCCUGGUCCCUGCCCAUUUCUGCCUGGAGCACCCACUGUGCUUGGUCUUCCUGCAGUCUUUGGCACCGGCUCCGGUGGAAGGCACCAAGUUCCUCAUCAGAAGGCUCCAUUGUGCCUAUUGUUUAAAUAUAGAUUACUAAUGAAAUGCC
rnacentral:lncRNA from 10 species